rnacentral:lncRNA from 1 species
GUCCAAUCUUUUAUACUAACCCCUUACAUUUCCACCCCUUACACAGCUGAGAUUUGAAUCUGGAUCCUCUGGUUAUAGAUCUCAUGUCUCUUCUGCUAUACCAUGGGGCUUGGAGCAGAUCAGCUUUAGGAUCCCAUCCAACUCAAAUAUUCUGUGAUUCUAGUGUUUACAACAUGAACCAUUCCAUCUUUUGCCGUCCUUGAAAAACUUGCUGAUGUGAAGUGAAACUUCAGCAUCCAGAGCUAUUGUGAGGAUGAAUGGAAUGCUGCUGCUACUAAAACACAUAUGGCAAUGCUUGGAGAAAAGCUAUGUUGUUACUAUCAUCGUUGCCUAACUUGUUGAGUGAGGGAAGGGAAAAGGACUACUGCUCUACAGGGCCUCUGGGAAGUGGGAAUAGCAGGAAACGUCAGAAAAGAAGAUGGGUCUGAAGACUGAGGCUGACUGUAUGGCAUUAGGUAUGUCACUUUGCCUCUGGCCCUCUGUUUCCUUAUCUGUUAAUGAGAAAAUAGGACCAGACAGUCUCUAAGAUCUCUUCCAGCUUGAAAAAAAUUGAUUAGGCAGUCUGCUUGGACCUGUUUCCUUAUAUGUAAAAUUAAAGAAAAGUUAGACUAUAUUACCAUUACUUUCCCAACAAGGGUUAGAGACCCAAAGAUCCUAUCACUUAUUUAGGGGCAGGCUGUCAGAGGGAAGAAACAGAGGCCAGUGGUAUGUCAUAGCACUAGCCUUCAGCCACCACUGGCUGGUUUCUUCUUGCCCCCACACGAUGGUUAUCUCAGCCAAGCAAACCAGGUUAUCCUUCAUAGCCCUCCGAAAUGCCCUGUUGUUAUUUCCAUAAGCCCUAGCUGCCUCCCUGAGAGACCA